ACAGCUGCUAACCAAGAGGUCGGCAGUUCAAAUCCACCAGGUGCUCCUUGGAAACUCUAUGGCGCAGCUACGAGUCAGAAUCGACUCUGCGGCAGUGGGUGUUGGUUUUGGGUGUGCAGUAUUGCAUUUGUGAAAUACAGCACCAUCAUGAUCAUAAAUGGCUCUUGGGGGAUUUUUGGUUUUGGUAGGACUUUGCCUAUGAUCAGAAAUGCCAGUCAUGCAGUGGUUAAGGUCAGCGGUUCGAAUCCACCAGGUGCUCCUUGGAAACCUUAUGGAGCAGUUCUACUCUGUCCUGUAGGAUCUCUAUGAGAUGGAAUCGACUUGACGGCACUGGGUUUGGUUUUUAUUUUGGUUUUGCCUAUGAUCAUUAAAUAAAAUAUUUUUCCAAUGGGUUGUUUAUUACAAAAUUGGCAAUAUUCAUCUAAAUAUUAGAUCUCAGACAGGCAUUUAACUAGAACCAAUGAAGACUAUGGGCUCAACGAAGAAAAGUGGUUGGGGAAAUUGACCAUUUGGGAAGAAAGCUGGCUGGACAGUACCAACAACUCUGAUCAAGCAAAUGACCAUCAAGGUCAGUUGAAAUAACACAUACCAUAAAAUGGGGUUUGAGGCAAAAGAGCUGCUCUCUGAGCCGCAAUGCUCACAUCUCUAAAAUGAGGGGAGUUGUGUUUUACCAUACUGAAGAAUGUUAGGAUCAGAUAAGAUGAUGAGAAAAUGUGAUCUUUCCCCCCAUCCUCCCAGACACAGCAAGAAACCAGGGAGUCAGGUAAGAUACCUCUCGAUCCCUUGUCUCUCACCUCCUACUAUUUCCCAGCAGCACUUGCUCAAAAUAAACUUAGGUUGGGGAGAAAGCAUUGCAUAGAGCGUAAGUGCAUGGCCUUUGAAAUCAAGCAACCUGGGUCAAACCAGAGCUCUCCACUUAAUACCUAUAGGACUUAGGGCAAGUCAUCUUCACCUUCACUUAAUGCAUAUGAAAAAUGGCGAUCAUAAUCAAACCCAACUCAAAAAGUUGUCCUGAGAAUUAAACGAGUUCAUAUAUGAAAAGCACUUAAAACACAAUGACUAACACACAGUAAGAACUCAAAACCAAUUAUCAAUCCUUUUUGUAUAUUAUGUGACUGAUACAUGCCAGGCACAUCAUGGAACAGAUGCCAGAGAUGAAACAAAGAAUACCAUAUAAAUGUUGCCUUCAGAUCCUUCAAGUCUGACUCUAUCACUCUAUUCUGGAAAACUCUGUUUUUGAUGUGGUGUGUUUUUCAUGUACACUUGGAACAUAUGCAGAAUUCAACAUAUGACCUGACAUGGUUGGGCUGGCCACCAGUAGAACUUCUUUUGUAACUACGAUAUUUCAACAAAUUUAAGAUACUAUCAAUGCAAGAGGUGCCAUUUUAGGGACCAUUAAAAAAGAAAAAAACAAACACUGCUGUUCAUAAUUGUAAGAUGCCAUUGGUUGUGAAAUACUCUAAUUUCAAUUUGAAAGGUGAAAAAAAAAAUCUGUUUUAGAAUUAAUGCAAUAUGGUAUUUUCAUCUCUCUGUCACUGUCUAGAACUCACAAAGGAACAUUCUGCCUGAACCGUGUGUAUAUACGUGUUAAAGGGAUGGAAGAGGAAGUGGCUCAAGAAGGACAUUUCACAAUAGUCCGGAACUGGCUUUGAGGGAAACUUACUAGGCCAAAAAAUAAGUGAAAUAUCAGUGAGGGAUAUCCUGCACUAAAGGAGCAGUAAACUUCUGGAGUUGCCAUCAAAAUGACUGUAUCCAGGUCUUUAGUAUGCUUACAAGUUAGAAAACUCAUUCCAGCUCUAGGACCCUCUAUCAGACCAAGGAGAGACAAUGGACCAAGAGCAAUGUAAUCUCAGGGGCCAAGGAGAUGACAGAGCACCUCAAGCACACAGCUGAUGAGGCUUGCAUUUUCUGACCAGGUUACACUUCUCCCAUGACCUAACUGCAUAUCAGAGUCCAAAAGCGUUACAGAUGGGGGCAAUGAAGAACCAGCUCCAACCAGAGAAAGGAGGUCAACUUCUACAGCUGCCUUCUUCUUCCUCUCAAUCCAGGGACCCUAGGGGUCAAGGGUCGGAUUGUUGUUGUUUAUUGCCACUGAAUUGGCUCCAGAAUCAUGGCGACACCAUGCACAAUGAAGCAAAACGCUGCCUGGUCCUGCAGUAUCCCCGUGAUCAGCUGAGGACUGAACCGUUGUGAUCCACAGGGUUUUCACUGGCUGAUUUUCAGGCCUUUCUUCUUUGUUCAUCCGAACAUGAUUUAAAUUCAUAUCUGUUAUUAUUAAACAAAUAUUUAUCCAGUGCCUGCAAAUGAGAAGUGUCUAGUGAAAACUAAAGAAGUGACGGUUUGUAAAGGACAAAGCACAUAACAGCAGAUAAAUAAUGAAUGUUGUUAUUGUUAGCUACAGUGGAGUUGGCCCCCUCAUGGAGAGCUUAUGCACAACAGAACAAAAUGCUACUCCUCCCCAUGAUUGGUUGGAGAUCAGACCAUUGUGAUCCAUAGGGUUUUCACUGGUUGAUUUUCAGAAGAAGAUCGCCAGGCCUUUGUUUCUAAUAUAUCUUAGUCUGGACGCUCUGCUAAAACCUGUUCAGCAUCCAUAACAAUAUUCAAGCCUUACUGACAGCUAGGUGGUGGCUGUACAUGAGGUACACUGGCCAGGAAUGGAACCUGGGUCUCCCAUAUGGAAGGCAAGAAUUCUACCACUGAACCAACGACGCCUCAAUAAAUAAUGAAUAGGACUUCCCUUUGGCCACCAGUGCCAGGUUAUUUUCACUUACAUUACUUUGGAAAAAUCCUGCUAUUUAAUUUGAGGAUUAGCAAAAUCCCUGUCUCUGUUCUGCUCCUUUAAAUUAAAAUUAAAAGCUCCUCUGAUCUUUAAUGUAUAAUUUUUACAGCCUAAUAAGUAUCUGAACACCACUCAAGGGUUAUGUAUUCUGUAUCUGCUCUGGAUGGCCCCUCCUUUGGCAGUGAGCAGGUGUCUGUGUGUGUUCUUCCACACCUUCUAGAUAUAAUAUUACUUCCCUGAGGACAAGGAUUAGCUUCGGAUUUCCUUUAAUUCUAGCACAGAGCCAAAUAUGCUAAAAGCUUAUAAAGUUGUUCAUAAAAAUGACAAAGAAGGGACUUUCCUUCAUGCAAUAGUUGUCAUUUUUCAGUCUUAUCCUAGUUAGAGAUGAAGAACAAAGUGUUCAAUUAGUUCUCAUUCCAUUUUGUACUGAAGAAAAAAGAACAUACGUAAAGACAUUAAUGUUUGACUAGUCGUAUGUGAAGAACUCUUAUCUGUAAAGGAAGAUGACAAUGUUCAUGAUGAAUUCACUGAGGAAAUGCAUUUGAUAAAGAAGAUUGCCAUCUUUUGUUUCAAAUCAUGUAAAAGGAUUGGGUGACAUGCCUAACCAUAGUGUGUCAACAAAGGGGGUAUUUUACAGAUUCUCAGUUAUGAUAUAUAUAUAUACUUCUAUAUAUUUAAUAAUCUGUUAUUGUGUUUUAGGUGAAAGUUUACACAGCAAAUUAGCUUCCCCUUUAACAAUUUUUAUACUAAUUGUUCCAUGCCAUUGGUUACAAUGUGUGAGCAUUCUCAUCAUUUCCAUUCUUUUUCUUCUGUUUUCAUUGAUCUAGAUUCCCUUCCCCUCCUUGCCUUCUCAUCUUUGCUUUUGAGUAAAUGUUGACCGUUUGCCUCAGAUGUGGUAUUAGUGAUUGGGACUACUUCCCAGCAGGCUGUAAUAAUUGAUUUUUUAAAAAAAGAUGUUCAAUUUUAUGAUUAAUUUAUUGUACGAUCUCUAGCAUCCCCAAUGAUUUCUUCAUGUACAGCGCAGCUAUGCCCACCGUUUUGCCUGCUACCUUCAAGAAUAUUACAAAGGUCGAUGAUACAACAUGGCAAGAGACACCAACUCUGGGUCAUCAGCUUCAAAGGAAGGAAACCUGGGCCAUCAGUAGCGCCAUCCAGAUGGUGAUAUCGAAGUACCACUGCAGAGGAGGCUGCAACAUAUAUGGUGUCUUAGUCAUCCAGUGCUGCCAUAACAGACAUACCGCAAGUGGAUGACUUUAACAAAGAGAAAUUUAUUUUCUUAUGGUAAAGUAGGCUAAAAGUCCAAAUUCAGGGUGUCAGCACCAGGGGAAGACUUCUCUCUCUGUGGGCUCUGGAGGAACGUCCUUGCUCUCAAUCUUCCCAUGGUUGAGGAGCUUCUCAGGCACAGGGACCUCGGGUCCAAAGGAUGCGCUCUGCUCCUGGUGCUGCUUUCUUGGUGGCAUGUAAGUCCCCAGCUCUCUGCUUGCUUCCCUCUACUUUUAUCUCUUGAGAGAGAAAAGCUGGUGCAGGCCACACCCCAGGGAAACUCCCUUUACCUUAGCUCAGGUAAGGGUGGUGUUAUAAUCCCACCCUAAUCCUCUCAACAUAAAAUUACAAUCACAAAAUGGAGGACAACCACACAAUACUGGGAAUCAUGGCCUAACCAAGUUGACACAUAUUUUGGGGGGGACACAAUUCAAUCCAUGACACAUGGUGAGCAAGCAGGUCAGAGUUCCAAAAUGCUGGGGAUCCUGACAUCACAGAAGGUCAUCUCCAAAGGCAAAGUUAUGAGACAAUAGUUGUUGCCACUUUUGGUUUCUCUGCUGGCUUAACCACAGGCCCUUAUAUGAAACCAUGAAAAUGAAAGAACUUUUCUUGUGUCUCUCUUUGUGUCCUUUCCUUCCAUUUCAGUAUCCCCCAACCAGUACCAGCUACAGAAUUUGUGGGGCCCAGGGCAAAAUGAAAAUGGGAGGUCCCUUCUUCCAAAAUUAUUAAGAAUUUCAAGACAGUGACAGCAGAGCUCAAACAAAGCAUAAGGCUCUUCUAAAUUCAGGGCCCUGUGUAACUAACUACAUUGGUUGCUCACUCAUGAAGCUGGCCCAGCUCCCAACUCCUCACCAAGGGCUCAGGGGCCUCACACUGCCUAAGCUUGAAUAGGAAACCUCACCCUGGCUGCUCCUGGGGGGGCUGCCUUACCCACAGUGCCCCACACAGUUCUCUUAGGUCCCCUCCUCCAGGAUCCUGCUAGUCACCCCCACUCAGCUGAGCAUGGGUGUCAAGGUGCUGGUGGCUAACAGUAGAAUAAUGAAUGAGUAGAGGGAGUUUGUGUUUUGACCCAAUGAAGUGUCUCGGGUGGAAGGAUUUUAGGGCCCAUGACAAGCUCCUGGAGGAAGGAAUUUAGGCCUUUUCAAUCACACUACCAAUCUCUUGUUUAUUCCCAUCCAUGGUUUGGCCCUCAGUUGAGGAAUUUUUAUUCAUACAUUCUUUUAACAUUUAUUGAGCACAUACUAUCCGCCAGGCAUUGUGCUAGGUUCUGGUAAUGCAAGGGUGACUGAGGUUUGCUCCCAGCCUUUGAAGAGCUCCCAUCUACUACAGUUAGUGGAACACAAAGAGGAUAAUUAUACACAGUGGUGCUGUCAGUGGGAGAUAUGAAGUAGUUGAGUGACAUUGCAAAAAAAAGUGUGAGUGGUCAGAGAGACUGGAUCAUGCAGUGUUUUGUUUUGCUUUUAAUCAUUUUAGUAGGCAAACGCAGAGCAGUUACCAUACAGAUUAUGUGCAGAAACACACCUUAUUUUAUUACUAAAACUGACCCAAUUCUCUGUAAAUUUUAUACUUUGCUUGAAGUAGAGACCUUGUUCUACACCAUUCAGUGUACUCAGUCCAGGCCCAAUUCACAUAUUUUAUCCCAGUCAUUGUCCAGUCCGAGCAUAGUCCCAAAAAGGUAAAUAUCUGGUUGUUUAGGGGUUCUCUCUGCUAAAAUAACACCUAUAUUAAGCCAAUAAUAGAAACUGAUUAGUUUAUUUAUUGUAAAAAAAAAAACAAAAAACCCUCGCCGUCAAGUUGAUUCCAACUCAUAGUGACCCUAUAGGACAGAGCAGAACUGCCCUAUAGUGUUUCCAAGGCUGUAAUCUUUGUGGAAGCAGACUGUCACAUCUCUUUCCUGCAGGGCUGCUGGUGGGUUUGAACCACUGACCUUUUGGUUAGCAGCCAAGUGCUAAACAACUUUGCCACAAGUCAAAAAUGUUCAAGAGAAGGAAAAUCCUUUGCAGGCUUUACACCCCAGCUUAUCGUCAAAAUAAAUGAAAAUCUCAUUGCUAUCGAGUUGAACUCUGACUCAUAGUGAACUUAGGGUCUCCAAGGAGCCGCUGGUGGAUUUGAACUGCUAAUCUCUUGGUUAGCAUCCGUACCUCAGCUGUAGCUCCUAACCACUGCACCACCAGGGCUCCCAUCAUCAGAAUAAGCAAACAAACAAACCCGUUGCCAUCAAGGGGAUUUUUGACUCAUAGUGAUCCUGUAGGACAGCGUAAACUGACCCACAGGGUUCCCAAAGAGCGGCUGAUGGAUUCCAACUGUUGAACUUUUGGUUAGCAGCCUGAGCUCUUAGGUUUACAGAAUAACUUGUGGUCAUGCAGGAUUCCAUACUACAUUUUCUUGAAGAAGAAUUCAGGUAAUUACUGAUUGACCUUAAAACACAGCUUCUAGUCUGACCUUUGGAAUUGCUGUUGUCAAACCGACUGCACAUAGAUAGUUCUUGAAGAUAGCACAAUGCCCAGGGCGAACAUUUUUUACUAAUAAACUACUGUUUAAGGAGCACAGGUGGCACAACAGUUAGCUUUCAAUUGGUGAUUUGAACCCACCCAGUGGCUUCGUGGGAGAAAUACCUAUCGAUCUGCU